CAGUAGCCGCGGGAAUACGUAGGUGGCAAGCGUUGUCCGGAAUUAUUGGGCGUAAAGGGCUCGCAGGCGGUUUCUUAAGUCUGAUGUGAAAGCCCCCGGCUCAACCGGGGAGGGUCAUUGGAAACUGGGAAACUUGAGUGCAGAAGAGGAGAGUGGAAUUCCACGUGUAGCGGUGAAAUGCGUAGAGAUGUGGAGGAACACCAGUGGCGAAGGCGACUCUCUGGUCUGUAACUGACGCUGAGGAGCGAAAGCGUGGGGAGCAAACAGGAUUAGAUACCCCAGUAGUCCCUGUCUCUUAUAC
rnacentral:rRNA from 1 species